AUUGAACGCUGGCGGCAUGCCUUACACAUGCAAGUCGAACGGCAGCACGGGUGCUUGCACUUGGUCGCGAGUGGCGAACGGGUGAGUAAUACAUCGGAACAAGUCCUGUUGUGGGGGAUAGCCCGCCGAAAGCCGGAUUAAUACCGCAUACGAACUACGGAAGAAAGAGGGGGAGCUUCGGGCCUGGCGCUAUCGGUUUGGCGGACGGCGGAUUAGCUAGUUGGUGGGGUAAAGGCCUACCAAGGCGACGAUCAGUAGCUGGUCUGAGAGGACGACCGGCCACACUGGGACUGAGACACGGCCCAGACUCCUACGGGAGGCAGCAGUGGGGAAUUUUGGACAAUGGGCGAAAGCCUGAUGCAGCAAUGCCGCGUGUGUGAAGAAGGCCUUCGGGUUGUAAAGCACUUUUGGCCGGAAAGAAGUCCUUGGCCCUAAUACGGUCGGGGGAUGACGUUACCGGAAGAAGAAGCACCGGCUAACUACGUG
rnacentral:rRNA from 1 species